rnacentral:rRNA from 1 species
GGCUAAUCUGCCCUUAGGAUAGGAAUAUCCCCGGGAAACUGGGGCUAAUUCCCAAUAGGCGAAGAACUCUGGAAUGAGUCUUCACCCGAAAAGAGCUUACUUUAUGCUCGUGAGUUUCGCCUAAGGAUGAGGCCGCGACUGAUCAGGUUGUUGGUGAGGUAAUGGCUCACCAAGCCUUUUACCGGUGCGGGCCGUGAGAGCGGGAGCCCGGAGAUGGGCACUGAGACAAGGGCCCAGGCCCUACGGGGCGCAGCAGUCGCGAAAACUUUGCAAUACACGAAAGUGUGACAGGGCUAUCCCGAGUGCCAUCCGCUGAGGAAGGCUUUUACCCAGUCUAGAACGCUGGGGGAAUAAGGAGAGGGCAAGUCUGGUGUCAGCCGCCGCGGUAAUACCAGCUCUCCGAGUGGUGUGGAUGUUUAUUGGGCCUAAAGCAUCCGUAGCUGGCUAGGUUAGUCCUUUGUUAAAUCCACCGAAUUAAUCGUUGGAUUGCGGGGGAUACUGCUUGGCUAGGGGACGAGAGAGGCAGACGGUAUUUCCGGGGUAGGGGUGAAAUCCUAUAAUCCCGGGAAGACCACCAGUGGCGAAGGCUGUCUGCUAGAACGCGCCCGACGGUGAGGGAUGAAAGCUGGGGGAGCGAACCGGAUUAGAUACCCGGGUAGUCCCAGCUGUAAACGAUGCAGGCUAGGUGUUUGGACGGCCACGUGCCGUUCUAGUGCCGCAGGGAAGUUGUUAAGCCUGCCGCCUGGGGAGUACGAUCGCAAGAUUGAAACUUAAAGGAAUUGGCGGGGGAGCACCACAACGGGUGGAGCUUGCGGUUUAAUUGGAUUCAACGCCGGAAAUCUUACCGGGACCGACAGCAAUAUGAAGGCCAGGCUGAAGACUUUGCCGGAUUAGCUGAGAGGUGGUGCAUGGCCGUCGUCAGUUCGUACUGUGAAGCAUCCUGUUAAGUCAGGCAACGAGCGAGACCCACGCCCACAGUUGCCAGCGUACUCUCUGGAGUGACGGGUACACUGUGGGGACCGCCGCUGCUAAAGCGGAGGAAGGAAUGGGCAACGGUAGGUCAGUAUGCCCCGAAUAUCCCGGGCUACACGCGAGCUACAAUGGUUGGUACAAUGGGUAUCUACCCCGAAAGGGGACGGGAAUCUCCUAAAACCAAUCUUAGUUCGGAUUGAGGGCUGCAACUCGCCCUCAUGAAGCUGGAAUCCGUAGUAAUCGCGUUUCAACAGAACGCGGUGAAUACGUCCCUUGCUCCUUGCACACACCGCCCGUCAAACCACCCGAGUAGGGUCUGAAUGAGAGCGCUUUCUUUGGAGGCGUUCGAAUUUGGGCUUUGCAAGGGGGGUUAA